GUGUAGCAUGAAGUCCAAGUUACUUCCAGAAGCACCUGAGGUAGCAUGGCUUUUUCAACAAGAGGAUAAGCAACGUGAGGGCCAGAAGGAGGAAACACACUCUAUCUUUGCACUUCGGAUUCAAAACUCACUCUACCUUGGAAAAUCAUUGGCUCCCUCGCUCUGCUAUUUUUUGCUGCUGGUCCAUGGAAGCUGGGAGAUCCGUGUGUCAGGCUAACUCUAAGGUCGCCCCCUGGUGUCCGUUUCUUGCAUAAUCCACCAAGCAGGCUUCAGUGACACAUCUCAGCCUCUCUUACUGGAUACUCUCAGAGGCUCCAAGAAGACGUGAAGGGAAGUCUAGAGAAUAAAGGCACCACCCAGGUGGACCUAGCUUCA
rnacentral:lncRNA from 1 species